GCUAGGUAUUUUUGGCGUCGGUUCUGUUUUUUGGCGCGACGGCGACUUGUGCCGCAGCUUUGUCGUCCUCCAUUUGAUGCACAUCCGCACAGAAAUCAGAUUAACUUGGAAUUGAUCAAAGGGGACACCAACUUCAGCUUGUUGCAUCAAAAAGGAAAUCCACGCAUCUGAAAUGGAAGGGAAUAGGGAAGGUUUAUUGCCUGUUCUAGUACCUCGAGUUGGAAUGGAGUUCGGUACAAUAGAAGAGGCUUGGAUGUUUUGGGUUGGUUAUGGAGGUCUAAAGGGCUUUGAGGUUAGGAAAAUGUACACAAACAAAAGAAAGUCAGAUGGGAAGGUUAGGUCCUGCAGAUAUGUUUGUGCAAAUGAGGGUCAUAGAUUGAAAGAUAAAAGGGAUCAUCUAACAAAGUGUCCAAGAGCUGAAACAAGAACUGAUUGUCAAGUUCGGAUGGGUGUUGUAAUGGACCGAGAGAAGGGAAAUUAUAAAGUGUUAGAUCUGAUUUUAGAGCACAAUCAUAUUCUUCACUUGCCACAAACCUCACACUUGAUGGUGUCUCAAAGGAAAAUUUCAGAGCUACAAGGUUUUGAAAUUGAGACAGCUGAUGAUGCAGGAAUUAUGCCUAAAGCUGCACAUGGAUUGGCUAGUCUGCAGGUUCACUUGUUUUUUUAAUUUUGCAGAGUGGAGUCAGUAACGAUCUUGAUGCUGAAUUCUAAUAACAAAGCUUGGUGGAGAGCAUAGCUGAGUUCUCUGUUGCUGUUGAUGCUUUGUUGCCACCUGAAUGCUGAAUUCUAGUACCAGAACUUGGUUGGAAUAGCUUUUGCUUUUAUAAUUCAAGUGAACCCAUAUAUGUUAAGUACUGCUCUUUGAUUGCUAGAAUCUGGUGAUGCAAAAAUGUUUGGUUGUUUGUUGCCACAAGUGCUCUGUUGCCGUAAAUAAAACUCUUUUGACUGUGCCAA